rnacentral:snoRNA from 1 species
UAUUGCCCGUAAUGAGGUUCUCUUAUUAUUGAGGGUCAAAAUUAUGAGGAUAAAAACAACUUUUUCUUACUGUAUUGAUGUUUUGGCUUAAGAAUGUGAACACAUACCUGUAACAGAAAGAGAAAGGAGAAUU